rnacentral:lncRNA from 1 species
CAGGCCUGCAGGAAUUGGAUUCCAGCGCUGUAUUUGUGCUUCUGGUGGGCCCUGCGGUGGCACUGGACGGAGCUGCAGCAGUAUCUAGAGCCUUUCUUCCCUCUCUGCAAGGAGAACUGAGGAAGCUGGAACAGAAAAAGCCAAGAGUUAUGGCAGCAAAAGGAAGCGAAGAGCCUUGCGCAGCUGAGCCCCGGUCAAUGGAAUGACUCUCUCUAAACUCAGGUAGGACCCAGGAUUCAAACCUCAUCUCCUGCCCCAGUGCUCAGCCUUGAACAGCACCGCCUUCCCGCCAGCACCGAAGGGCUACGUGGGCCAUUGGGGCUGCGUCAGCUCUUCCACUGGCGUAACUGAGUAACCAAUGCUAGUACACAUACUCUUCUGCUACUGUAAAGCUUAAGGGGUCCAAUGCUAACUUUCCACACUGUACAUGAAUUGUCAGGAUAAUCCCUUUUUAAACUUUAUGCUUUAUAYGGAUGCAGAUAUCCUGAUGUGAUCUUUCUGAAACUUGUUCAUAAUACUUGCACGGUAGACAAAAAGAAUAUAAAAACAGCUGGAUGAAGAGCAUCAUUCUGCCUUGCUACAAUAUCAGAAAGUGACAUCAAAAUCAGCAAUAAAUAAAAAUAUAAAUCAAAAAAUACA